AAACUCCAACCUACUUAGCAAGUGCCAGAGUCACUCUUUCCAUCCCACGUCUUGGGGAGCGGGGACCAGGACAGCGGGGUGACCUUCGCAGGAGCUCGGAUGAGCCCAGGGACUGGGUGCUCCUGGCAGCCAGGGAGAGCCACAAGAAAGCAGCAUGAUCCCCACCCUGCCGUGGAACAGAAACCUGCUCUCAGCUGGCACUGCCUUUGAACUGAAGUGCUGGAAUUUGCCCCAACACGUGGAGGAAGAGAUUUCCCUCCAUGUUGUGGGUGAGACUUGGGAAGAGGCCUCAGCACCAUCUGAUGGAGCUCACUGAUCACACCAUCACGCUUCCCGGUGCGGGGAGAUCGUGUGUUACACACGCUUGAACACGGAGAGCUGGUGCUGGACGCCAAGAAAGCAGCUGGGAAAACACACCACAGCCAAGGGACCUCUGCACAGGCACCACCAGAUGGGGUCUGGACAUGGAGGCCCAGCUCCAACAACCCUGCACCCCACUCCAGUGUCAGCACAGCAUCACACCAUGGCAGGAAAGCUGCUUUUUGGGAAAUGGGAAUAACACCAGCACAAAUCGCUCCCAACUGAAUUGUUCAUGGACCUUCAGACACCAUCAAAGUCAGGAGCACAGCAUGUUCGUGGCCAAAAUCAAUCACUCCAUUCUCACACUGGGAGGGGGAAGGGGCAGCAGUAAAGGGAUGUUAUUCUGUGUUUGAAGGAAACAUUCGACCAGAGACCUAUUUUUCUUUCUGUAAGAGAGUAAAUUGGCCAUAACUGCAAAUGAACUGCAGGGAUUCACUACAGACCAGGAUAAAAAAUUCAUUUUAUUUCAUUGCAAUUUCAGAAUUUAAGGAGUAGAAAGUAUUGAUUUAAAUAAUUAAACCAUUUUGUAAUCUUAUACUUAAAAGUGUCUGUCUGUAAACAUGGACAAAAAGGACAUUAUAAGCUUUUGAGGAGAACAUAAGAGUCUAAGACUCAGGGAGACUUCUGGUUCUCUAAAACUCUUAAGUGGUCAUCUAAACAUGUUUUAAACUCUGGCCUGCCUGCAUUUUUGCAAGUGACAGAGAUGUUCCACUUGUUUCUCAUGCCCAGACUUCACCCUUCAGUGCUCCACUUGUUCUCUGCACGCCUUGAGUCCUGGCUGUCACUCUUUGCCUCUGUGUCCUGAGCCCCUCUGAGCAGUUUUCAUGUCUCUGGGCUGCAGUCUCUCUCUUUGUUUCAUAUCUGAACCUAUCCCUACACUUCCAUAUCUGCACUUAUAAAGUAUCUCUUUUCUGGUAUUACUUACUCGUAAUCACUCUAUAAUUACAUUGUGGAGCCCUGUCGAGCUCCCAGGAACAAAUCUCAUAUGAAGGAUGCAAAAAUGGACCUCUAUCUCAGGGAAAAUUGUGGCAUGUCAGAGAUGAGGAAGUUGUUUGAUCAUUAGUCUUAUCUAGAACAAAUUGCGCAUAAUAACCUUUAAUAUUUUCUAUCAGAUUUGGUUCCUCAGAGAGACACAGGUUUUAAUUAAUCUGUAUUUAACGGAAUCAUUUAAGUAUAUCUGAGCCCCCAAAAUAAGAUACUUAAAUGUGCAUUAAAAAAUAAAUAAAUCACUAGUUCACUGAA